rnacentral:rRNA from 1 species
AACCAGACUCCUACGGGAGGCAGCAGUGAGGAAUAUUGGUCAAUGGUCGGGAGACUGAACCAGCCAAGCCGCGUGAGGGAGGAAGGUACAGAGUAUCGUAAACCUCUUUUGUCAGGGAACAAAGACUGGGACGCGUCCCCGGAUGAGUGUACCUGAAGAAAAAGCAUCGGCUAACUCCGUGCCAGCAGCCGCGGUAAUACGGAGGGUGCGAGCGUUAAUCGGAAUUACUGGGCGUAAAGGGUGCGCAGGCGGUUGAGUAAGACAGAUGUGAAAUCCCCGAGCUUAACUCGGGAAUGGCAUAUGUGACUGCUCGACUAGAGUGUGUCAGAGGGAGGUGGAAUUCCACGUGUAGCAGUGAAAUGCGUAGAUAUGUGGAAGAACACCGAUGGCGAAGGCAGCCUCCUGGGACAUAACUGACGCUCAGGCACGAAAGCGUGGGGAGCAAACAGGAUUAGAUACCCUCGUAUAC